rnacentral:lncRNA from 1 species
GUUGCGGUAUCAACAUCAUCAUCUGAGUUAACGAUCUUGAACAGGAGAUCCGUAUUCCGCACUCGUGAGGGAUCCUUUCCAACAAGUGAUAUCAGAGCGCACAUGAUUGUCUAAGUUGUGGAGGUGUUGAUCAAGGUUGAAAAAGAUAAAAAAGAGAUGCUCAAUCAAGGUGAAGAUCAACCGAUAUGAUGAAAAAAAUAAUUUCUCCUUAUGACAAGCGAGGGUAAAAGA